rnacentral:rRNA from 1 species
UACAGAGGGGGCAAGCGUUGUUCGGAAUUACUGGGCGUAAAGGGCGCGUAGGCGGCCUGUUAAGUCAGACGUGAAAUCCCUCGGCUCAACCGGGGAACUGCGUCUGAUACUGGCGGGCUUGAAUUCGGGAGAGGGAUGUGGAAUUCCAGGUGUAGCGGUGAAAUGCGUAGAUAUCUGGAGGAACACCGGUGGCGAAGGCGGCAUCCUGGACUAAUACUGGCACUGAGGAGCGAAAGCCAGGGGAGCAAACGGG